rnacentral:lncRNA from 1 species
GCUCUAGACAUUUAUACCUCUGGUCUACAUUAAGGGAUGUUAGAGAACACACACUCCUGACCACCAAACCCUCCUGCGUCACUAGGGUACCUUGUUCAGCAGGAUCCGCUACUGGCCUGCUGGCAGCUCAAGCCUUCCUUCCAGCUGCGACCUUCUUAGGCAGCUUCAAUGUUCUCCUCAUCUGUCAAAGACCUCCUACAAGAAAACAAGACCUCUCUAGUAUUCCCCGGUAAACAGAGCUCAAUGGCAAACACCCUAAAAUAUUCGUAUGGAACUUAUAAAAUGACCAUGGUGUAACUGAAAUAAACAGACAGGACCCUCCAAAGGAAAUCCUACUCCUUCACCUCUUCGUGGUGAGGUCGCUGUGGGGUUCGGGCACAGGCACGAACUUGGACACCUGAGCUCAUCACCAGCCUCUGUCUAUUGUGAGCUCACAGUCUUUGGAAGCUCACAAUACAAAAAUUAGCUGGGUGCCCACCUGUAAUCCCAGCUACUUGGGAGGCUGAGGCAGGAGAAUUCCUUGAACCCAGGAGGCAGAGGUUGCAGUGAGCUGAGACUGCACCAAGCCUGGGUGACAAGAGCAAAAGUCUAUCUCAAAAAAAGAUCGACUUCUCUCUCUCUCACUCCCUCACCAGCUUUAUCUGUCCUCAUGGCCCUUAUCAGCACCCCCGCUUGGACAGCAGCCCCUCCUAGCCCAUGGCGGGUUUGCUCCAAGAGCCCAGUGGAUGUCUGAAACUGAGGAUGCACCAAACCCUAUGAACAUGGAUGAAUCUGGAGAUCAUCAUUCUCAGCAAAUUGACACAAGAACAGAAAAUGAAACACUGCAUAUUCUCAUUCAUAGGUAAUUCAGCUGUUCUCCUUGCUCCAGUGUGGUCCACAAACCUUUAUUGACUGUCAUCCAAAAGCUUUAUGAACCAGGAAGAAAGUCUAUAGCUCAAGAACCAUCUCAUUUAUAAGAAACAUAAAGUGGGGAUUUUCUCCUGUCCUGAAAUAUCCAAAUAAUCCAUCUUAAAAAAAUGAAAUAAUAAAUCUCUCAUUUGAGCUC